AUGUUACAGCAAAGAUAACAAUUAUACUUUUAUGACAAUAUUAAAAAAUCAUCGCGCUUUUGCUUAUAUUAGCAGAAAAUUUAAAUUAAAUUAAACAAAGAAAUAUGAUGUUUUAUUCGUGAAUAUACUUAUAUGCGCAAGAAAAAACUUCAUAAAAUCCGCAUAUGAUAUUGAUCGAAAAUCGUUUCUGAUCGCAUCAAACAUAAUUUUAUCUACGUGGAAUUAUUUUUUUAAUUAUGACACGUCCGAGUAUGGGUGCGUUCUUUUUAAUUCUUUUAUUCACUCUGAGUACUACAGUACAGGGCAUCGAUUACGUAUUUCAUGUAUGAUUACGUUUUCAGUGACAUAGUUCACUUUUAGAUUUUCGGUGGCCAUCUCACGGUUUCACCGUUUGUCAUUUUCACUGCGAUCAUGUAGCGAAAGAAAUUAUUAAUAACAUAACUAGAAGUGAAAACUUGAGAAUGAAGACUUAUUCACAUCAAAAUAUUCCAAAAAUUAUACUGAAGGCAACUUCAUGGCUGUUAAUAUUUAGCAAAAUAAAGAGUUUCUGUAUUUCAAGAAGCAUAAAAGGUAAGUUAGCUUUGAGAGCUAAGCCCGCUUGAAGAUGUCCAAGUGAUGAGCUGUAAUUCAUCGAAGAGUAAAUAAUGAGUCGUUAAAUAAAUCUGUAUCUAACAAAA